UAGAUAUCUGAUUUAUUGGCAUAGAACAAGUCUGAUAUACAAUAUUGUACGGAAACUAGUGGUAUAGAUCUAGUGAUAUAGAUCAGCAGGACAAUGGGACUGGGACUUUCUGAAGGCACUGUACAAAGUAAGGGUAUUUAAAUUGUUGAAGUAUUGACGCAUAGUGACUCGAAGGAGUUCCGUUUCUGCAUUCAACUCUGUGGAUGAAGUCAUGGUGGAGUUGAGGUACAUGGCAAGGGAUGGGACAGGGACUGACUAAGGCUGGGGAUGGGACAGGGACUGACUAAGGCUGGGGAUGGGACAGGGACUGACUAAGGCUGGGGAUGGGACUGACUAAGGCUGGGGAUGGGACUGACUAAGGCUGGGGAUGGGACAGGGAAUGACUAAGGCUGGGGAUGGGACAGGGACUGACUAAGGCUGGGGAUGGGACAGGGACUGACUAAGGCUGGGGAUGGGACUGACUAAGGCUGGGGAUGGGACAGGGAAUGACUAAGGCUGGGGAUGGGACAGGGACUGACUAAGGCUGGGGAUGGGACUGACUAAGGCUGGGAGGGAGGGAAGGCUGGAUGGAUGGGAGGGAGGGAAGGCUGGAUGGAUGGGAGGGAGGGAAGGAAGGCUGGAUGGAUGGGAGGGAGGGAAGGUUGGAUGGAGAAUAAAGUAGAAUACUCUAUUACAGACAUGACAAUCAACCGCUUACAAUGGUGGAAAACCAUGUAACAAAAACAUUCAAAACUUUCAUGACUUACAAUACUUUACAAGGAACCAAUGUGCUACAGCUCUAACAAUAGAAUCACCCUGGGACUGAAGGGAUUGUCUUAAGACCAAUGUGCUACAGUUCUAACAAUAGAAUCACCCCGGGACUGAAGGGAUUGUCUUAAGACCAAUGUGCUACAGUUCUAACAAUAGAAUCACCCUGGGACUGAAGGGAUUGUCUUAAGACCAAUGUGCUACAGUUCUAACAAUAGAAUCACCCUGGGACUGAAGGGAUUGUCUUAAGACCAAUGUGCUACAGUUCUAACAAUAGAAUCACCCCGGGACUGAAGGGAUUGUCUUAAGACCAAUGUGCUACAGUUCUAACAAUAGAAUCACCCUGGGACUGAAGGGAUUGUCU
ensembl:lncRNA